CAGCCGCCACGGGAAUACGGAGGGGGCUAGCGUUGUUCGGAAUUACUGGGCGUAAAGCGCACGUAGGCGGCUUGGUAAGUUAGAGGUGAAAGCCCGGAGCUCAACUCCGGAAUUGCCUUUAAGACUGCCGAGCUAGUAGGUGAGAGAGGUAAGUGGAAUUCCGAGUGUAGAGGUGAAAUUCGUAGAUAUUCGGAAGAACACCAGUGGCGAAGGCGGCUUACUGGCUCAUACUGGACGCUGAGGUGCGAAAGCGUGGGGAGCAAACAGGAUUAGAUACCCCAGUAGUCCCUGUCUCUUAUAC
rnacentral:rRNA from 1 species